AACGACAGUUUCCUUGCUCUGUCAUCGGUGGAAAAAAUUCAGGCGUCGUGGGUAAAAAUUUUCUUUGUAUAAGAUAAAUCAAAUUGGCUAAAACCAACUAAAUUGGUGUUGCACCAUAGUGAAAAGUUAUUCAAUAAGCAUAUGAAAUACAGUUGUUAAAAAGUAUAGUGGAAUUUUAAAAUUUAGUGUUUUAAAUUACGGCUCCAAUAAGCCAUUGGACACAAGAGAAAUCUACUCCGCUGCCACAAAAUGGCCCAUUCGUUGCAUACAGAACGCAGCAUUCACGAGAUGCUAAAAGACACACCGCCGAUGAACGAAAGUGGUAGUGCAAUACAUAGUGGAACUGAAGGCCGGCCAUUCAUGCCACCAAAUAGUCUACCACUGCAUAAUCAUUCAGCACCCGCUACACCGAUGACACAAAACAGCCCACAGAACGGCAUGGACGCCGGUCUUCUGCGUACGGGGGCCUCAAAAAUUGACAGUAUAAAGAAUUGGAGCAUAUCAACUUACAAAUGUACUCGACAGAUUAUGUUAGAAAAAUUAGGCAAAUCACAACGCACUGUUGACUCAGAGUUGGAAGCGCAGAUUGAACAAUUGCGAGAAACACAGCGGAAAUACUUAUCUAUUUUACGACUGACCCGAGCUUUCAGUUCCCACUUUCAUCAUGUAGUAGUAACGCAACAUGCACUGGCCGAGGCAUUUGCUGAUUUAGCACAGAAAAGUCCAGAACUGCAAGAGGAAUUUACAUGUAAUUCUGAAACGCAAAGAAAUCUGACAAAGAACGGUGAGUUGCUGCUGAGUGCUCUGAAUUUUUUCAUUUCAUCGGUGAAUACAUUGUGCAAUAAAACUAUCGAUGAUACGUUACUCACAAUCAAGCAAUAUGAAAUAGCCAGAGUGGAGUUUGACGCGUAUCGUAUGGAUUUGGAAAAUACAAAACCUGAAUUGCCACAAAGUCCUGUUACCGAAGAGGCGCAGAAAAACUUUUCUCAUCAUAAGGAACUUUAUGAAAAGUUACGAGCCGAUGUCGCCGUAAAAAUGCAAUUUCUUGACGAAAAUAGAGUGCGCAUUUUACAUUGCUAUAAUUUCAUACCUCUAAUGUACUACUGGUUUUCAUUCCAGAUUAAAGUGAUGCAUAAACAGUUAGUAUUACUUCAUAAUGCAAUAGCUGCAUAUUUUUCCGGAAAUGCGGUUGCUCUAGAGAAUACAAUGAAACAAUUCAACAUAAAAUUGAAGGCGCCCAAUGCCACUACUGGAUCCUGGUUAGAGCAGUAGUAUUGCUAAAUGCCCGUCCAUGUAAACAACCAACAUUUUUAAGCACCUAACAUUUGAAAAUGUCCCAUACAUAAAAAUCAAGAAUAAAAGUCUUUCUUGAAAAAGAGCACAGAUUUUUGGAGAACAUCAUAGUAAACUUUUUCGCUUAAAUGGAUGUUAAAGUAAAGUGUUUUUCAAUAAUUCAAAA